rnacentral:rRNA from 1 species
AGCGAACGCUGGCGGCAGGCCUAACACAUGCAAGUCGAACGAACUCUUCGGAGUUAGUGGCGGACGGGUGAGUAACACGUGGGAACGUGCCUUUUGGUUCGGAAUAACUCAGGGAAACUUGUGCUAAUACCGCAUGUGCCCUUCGGGGGAAAGAUUUAUCGCCAUUAGAGCGGCCCGCGUCUGAUUAGCUAGUUGGUGAGGUAACGGCUCACCAAGGCGACGAUCAGUAGCUGGUCUGAGAGGAUGACCAGCAACACUGGGACUGAGACACGGCCCAGACUCCUACGGGAGGCAGCAGUGGGGAAUCUUGCGCAAGGAGCGAAAGCCUGACGCAGCCAUGCCGCGUGAAUGAUGAAGGUCUUAGGAUUGUAAAAUUCUUUCACCGGAGACGAUAAUGACGGUACCCGGAGAAGAAGCCCCGGCUAACUUCGUG